AACGCCCCCAACCACAACCCCUGUCAAUUGAAUGUCUAAGCCCAAACAAAAUGAUACUUCAAAACUUUCAACAACGGAUCUCUUGGCUCUGGCAUCGAUGAAGAACGCAGCGAAAUGCGAUAAGUAAUGCGAAUUGCAGAAUUCCGCGAGUCAUCGAAUCUUUGAACGCAUAUUGCGCCCUCCGGUAUUCCGGAGGGCAUGCCUGUCCGAGCGUCAUU
rnacentral:rRNA from 1 species